rnacentral:misc_RNA from 1 species
AACGCACCUUGCGCCCUUUGGCUAUUCCGAAGGGCAUGCCUGUUUGAGUAUCAUGAACACCUCAACUCUCGUGGUUUGCCAUGAUGAGCUUGGACUUUGGGGGUCUUGCUGGCCUGUGGUCGGCUCCUCUCAAAUGGAUCAGCUUGCCAGUGUUUGGUGGCAUCACAGGUGUGAUAACUAUCUACGCUUGUGGUUUUCUACCAGAUAACCUUCAGUGAUGGAGGUUCACUGGAGCUCAUAAAUGUCUCUCCUCAGUGGAGACAGCUUUUUGAACAUUUGAUCUCAAAUCAGGUAGGACUACCCGCUGAACUUAA